UGCAACUGGUUGGUGGUUAUACAUUUAAUCAAACCGCUGUCUUUGAAAUUGCAUGAUGAAAGAGAGGCUUUGCGAUAUCACCUAUGACAUCGAGAUGGGACAAUAAACGGGCGAUAUGAAUAUAUGACCGGAAUUGUACGAGCAUAUCGUGCGUGUGUGGAUAAAUUUGCGAAAUUUAAAAUUCAUUUUGAAGAUCCGCUACAACGAAAAUAGGUGGUCUUUAUCGGCGGCGAAAUUUUGGCUGAGGGGGCAAAAGGUCGUGAUGGCUUAUGGAUGUGUGAAGGAAACAAGAAAAUUAAGAAAACUAUUACAAAAUUUACAAAGACCAAACAGUAGCAGCAAUUAUCAAAAGCUAUAGAAAGAAAUUUAAUGUUGUUUUAAAGUUAUACUUAUAGCUGCGUUUUUUGUUCUGUUUAUAUAACUCGUAAUAAUAUGUAUAUUUACAGUAAAAAUUACAAGACAAUUAUCUAUUAAUAACUUUGAAAAUCUAUAUUGACAACCCGUAUUUAUAAAAUUGAUUAUUCCUUACCAUGUAGGGGAAGGUGGGGAAUGGGCCAAUGGGGAAUCCCGGGCCAGCGCGAUAUUUGUUUCCCUAGUAUAGGUUGACAGCUGCAACCAACUGUCAUCGGCUCGUCUCAUACUAAGCUCAGUUUCUAUCGUGGUAUAGAGGAGUAGAGAAAGUCCCAUUCACAAUAGAAAAAAGAGCCAUUCACAGUCCUUAACCUACCCCUCAAGUGUACGCUCACAAUAAAACAUCAUGGCCACCUCUGGUGAAUAAGGGUGGCGAGAGGUCAAAACGGGUUGCAGAAAGCGA